AUACGUAGGGGGCGCGCGUUGUCCGGAAUGAUUGGGCGUAAAGGGCGCGUAGGCGGCCCGGUAAGUCUGGAGUGAAAGUCCUGUUUUUAAGAUGGGAAUUGCUUUGGAUACUGUCGGGCUUGAGUGCAGGAGAGGUAAGUGGAAUUUCCAGUGUAGCGGUGAAAUGCGUAGAGAUUGGGAGGAACACCAGUGGCGAAGGCGACUUACUGGACUGUAACUGACGCUGAGGCGCGAAAGUGUGGGGAGCAAACAGGAUUAGAUACCCUGGUAGUCCACACUGUAAACGAUGAAUGCUAGGUGUAGGGGGUAUCGACCCCUUCUGUGCCGCAGUCAACACAAUAAGCAUUCCGCCUGGGGAGUACGGCCGCAAGGUUGAAACUCAAAGGAAUUGACGGGG
rnacentral:rRNA from 1 species